GACGAACGCUGGCGGCGUGCUUAACACAUGCAAGUCGAACGGAAAGGCCCUGCUUUUGUGGGGUGCUCGAGGGGCGAACGGGGGAGUAACACGUGAGUAACCUGCCCCUGACUUUGGGAUAACUUCAGGAAACUGGGGCUAAUACCGGCUAGGAGCUCCUGCUGCAUGGUGGGGGUUGGAUAGUUUCGGCGGUUGGGGUUGGACUCGCGGCUGAUCAGCUUGUUGGUGGGGUAGUGGCUUACCAAGGCUUUGACGGGUAGCCGGCCUGAGAGGGUGACCGGCCCCAUUGGGCCGGAGAUACGGCCCAGACUCCUACGGGAGGCAGCAGUGGGGAAUAUUGCACAAUGGGCGGAAGCCUGGUGCAGCAACGCCGCGUGCGGGAUGACGGCCUUCGGGUAGUAAACCGCUUUCGCCUGUGACGAAGCGUGAGUGACGGUAACGGGUAAAGAAGCACCGGCUAACUACGUG
rnacentral:rRNA from 1 species